rnacentral:rRNA from 1 species
GACAGAGGGUGCAAACGUUGCUCGGAAUUACUGGGCGUAAAGCGCGUGUAGGCGGACCGGAAAGUCGGGCGUGAAAUCCCUGGGCUCAACCCAGGAACUGCACUCGGAACUUCCGGCCUUGAGUGGUGGAGAGGGUAGUGGAAUUCCUGGUGUAGCGGUGAAAUGCGCAGAUAUCAGGAAGAACACCCGUGGCGAAGGCGGCUCUCUGGGACGGUACUGACGCUGAGACGCGAAAGCGUGGGGAGCGAACAGG